CCGGUAAACGGCGGCCGUAACUAUAACGGUCCUAAGGUAGCGAAAUUCCUUGUCGGGUAAGUUCCGACCUGCACGAAUGGCGUAAUGAUGGCCAGGCUGUCUCCACCCGAGACUCAGUGAAAUUGAACUCGCUGUGAAGAUGCAGUGUACCCGCGGCAAGACGGAAAGACCCCGUGAACCUUUACUAUAGCUUGACACUGAACAUUGAGCCUUGAUGUGUAGGAUAGGUGGGAGGCUUUGAAGUGUGGACGCCAGUCUGCAUGGAGCCGGCCUUGAAAUACCACCCUUUAAUGUUUGAUGUUCUAACGUUGGCCCGUAAUCCGGGUUGCGGACAGUGUCUGGUGGGUAGUUUGACUGGGGCGGUCUCCUCCUAAAGAGUAACGGAGGAGCACGAAGGUUGGCUAAUCCUGGUCGGACAUCAGGAGGUUAGUGCAAUGGCAUAAGCCAGCUUGACUGCGAGCGUGACGGCGCGAGCAGGUGCGAAAGCAGGUCAUAGUGAUCCGGUGGUUCUGAAUGGAAGGGCCAUCGCUCAACGGAUAAAAGGUACUCCGGGGAUAACAGGCUGAUACCGCCCAAGAGUUCAUAUCGACGGCGGUGUUUGGCACCUCGAUGUCGGCUCAUCACAUCCUGGGGCUGAAGUAGGUCCCAAGGGUAUGGCUGUUCGCCAUUUAAAGUGGUACGCGAGCUGGGUUUAGAACGUCGUGAGACAGUUCGGUCCCUAUCUGCCGUGGGCGCUGGAGAACUGAGGGGGGCUGCUCCUAGUACGAGAGGACCGGAGUGGACGCAUCACUGGUGUUCGGGUUGUCAUGCCAAUGGCACUGCCCGGUAGCUAAAUGCGGAAGAGAUAAGUGCUGAAAGCAUCUAAGCACGAAACUUGCC
rnacentral:rRNA from 1 species